rnacentral:rRNA from 1 species
GACGAACGCUGGCGGCGUGCCUAAUACAUGCAAGUAGAACGCUGAAGAGAGGAGCUUGCUCUUCUUGGAUGAGUUGCGAACGGGUGAGUAACGCGUAGGUAACCUGCCUUGUAGCGGGGGAUAACUAUUGGAAACGAUAGCUAAUACCGCAUAACAAUGGAUGACACAUGUCAUUUAUUUGAAAGGGGCAAUUGCUCCACUACAAGAUGGACCUGCGUUGUAUUAGCUAGUAGGUGAGGUAAUGGCUCACCUAGGCGACGAUACAUAGCCGACCUGAGAGGGUGAUCGGCCACACUGGGACUGAGACACGGCCCAGACUCCUACGGGAGGCAGCAGUAGGGAAUCUUCGGCAAUGGGGGCAACCCUGACCGAGCAACGCCGCGUGAGUGAAGAAGGUUUUCGGAUCGUAAAGCUCUGUUGUAAGUCAAGAACGGGUGUGAGAGUGGAAAGUUCACACUGUGACGGUAGCUUACCAGAAAGGGACGGCUAACUACGUGCCAGCAGCCGCGGUAAUACGUAGGUCCCGAGCGUUGUCCGGAUUUAUUGGGCGUAAAGCGAGCGCAGGCGGUUUGAUAAGUCUGAAGUUAAAGGCUGUGGCUCAACCAUAGUUCGCUUUGGAAACUGUCAAACUUGAGUGCAGAAGGGGAGAGUGGAAUUCCAUGUGUAGCGGUGAAAUGCGUAGAUAUAUGGAGGAACACCGGUGGCGAAAGCGGCUCUCUGGUCUGUAACUGACGCUGAGGCUCGAAAGCGUGGGGAGCGAACAGGAUUAGAUACCCUGGUAGUCCACGCCGUAAACGAUGAGUGCUAGGUGUUGGAUCCUUUCCGGGAUUCAGUGCCGCAGCUAACGCAUUAAGCACUCCGCCUGGGGAGUACGACCGCAAGGUUGAAACUCAAAGGAAUUGACGGGGGCCCGCACAAGCGGUGGAGCAUGUGGUUUAAUUCGAAGCAACGCGAAGAACCUUACCAGGUCUUGACAUCCCGAUGCUAUUUCUAGAGAUAGAAAGUUACUUCGGUACAUCGGUGACAGGUGGUGCAUGGUUGUCGUCAGCUCGUGUCGUGAGAUGUUGGGUUAAGUCCCGCAACGAGCGCAACCCCUAUUGUUAGUUGCCAUCAUUCAGUUGGGCACUCUAGCGAGACUGCCGGUAAUAAACCGGAGGAAGGUGGGGAUGACGUCAAAUCAUCAUGCCCCUUAUGACCUGGGCUACACACGUGCUACAAUGGUUGGUACAACGAGUUGCGAGUCGGUGACGGCGAGCUAAUCUCUUAAAGCCAAUCUCAGUUCGGAUUGUAGGCUGCAACUCACCUACAUGAAGUCGGAAUCGCUAGUAAUCGCGGAUCAGCACGCCGCGGUGAAUACGUUCCCGGGCCU